AUAAGUGGUGGUUAUGCCAGCAACUGAAGUAUUAUCACAGAUCAUGAGAAAACACAAAAAAUGGAGAAGAUAUUCAAUUAAAGAUAACCAGCAUCCUAUGUGGGCAGCUUGUUUGACAGUAAUCUUGAACUUCUUCAUAAUUAAACCACCAGCUAUAUAUCCAAUGCAUAUUGGAGGCAAACAUUUGUAUUCUUUCAAGAUAAAUAUGUGAAAGGAUUUGAAAGGACCAAAAAGGAAAACACCAAAAAGGCUUAUUGCAAAGUCUGAGUCAUCAAAAGUGCCAAAGGUUACAUGGGUCUACCUUGUAAGUAGAAGAAAUGUCAGCACCUACAUUGUUUCAUAUGGACAGUGCCCCACCAAGUACAACCACACUGGCCUCUCUAGGUUUCUAAAAUCCCCAUCACCAAAGCCAUCCAUGCUGAAGGUAUUAUCUCUAAAAAGCCACCGUUUGAAAUCCACUUCCAUUUUUGAAAGAAGAAAAGAAGAGACUUCUCUACACA